rnacentral:rRNA from 1 species
AGCAGCCGCGGUAAUUCCAGCUCCAAUAGCGUAUAUUAAAGUUGUUGCAGUUAAAAAGCUCGUAGUUGAAUUUCGGGAUCAAUUAAUUGGUCGUGCCUCUGGUACGUACUGAUUUUAUUGGUUUCUCCCUUCUGACGAACCAUGAUGUCAUUAAUUUGAUGUCGUGGAGAAUCAGGACUGUUACUUUGAAAAAAUUAGAGUGUUUAAAGCAAGCUAACGCUUGAAUACAUUAGCAUGGAAUAAUGAAAUAGGACGUUUGAUCCUAUUUUGUUGGUUUCUAGGAUCGACGUAAUGAUUAAUAGGGAUAGUUGGGGGCAUUAGUAUUCAAUUGUCAGAGGUGAAAUUCUUGGAUUUAUUGAAGACUAACUACUGCGAAAGCAUUUGCCAAGGAUGUUUUCAUUAAUCAAGAACGAAAGUUAGGGGAUCGAAGACGAUCAGAUACCGUCGUAGUCUUAACCAUAAACUAUGCCGACUAGGGAUCGGAUGAUGUUAAUUUUUAAUGACUCAUUCGGCGCCUUAC